rnacentral:rRNA from 1 species
CCUACGGGUGGCUGCAGUGAGGAAUAUUGGUCAAUGGGCGCGAGCCUGAACCAGCCAAGUAGCGUGAAGGAUGACUGCCCUACGGGUUGUACACUUCUUUUUUAAAGGAAUAAAGUGAUGCACGUGUGCCUUUUUGUAUGUACUUUAUGAAUAAGGAUCGGCUAACUCCGUGCCAGCAGCCGCGGUAAUACGGAGGAUACGAGCGUUAUCCGGAUGUAUUUGGUUUAACGGGAUCGGAGAUGGUUUGUUAAGUCAGUUGUGAAAGUUUGCGGCUCAACCGUAAAAUUGCAAUUGAUACUGGCAGGCUUGAGUACAGUUGAGGUAGGCGGAAUGCGUGGUGUAGCGGUGAAAUGCUUAGAUAUCACGAAGAACUCCGAUUGCGAAGGCAGCUUACUAAACUGCCACUGACAUUGAUGCUCGAAAGUGUGGGUAUCAAACAGGAUUAGAUACCCGUGUAGUC